GCGCCCGUAGCUCAGCGGAUAGAGUACUCGGCUACGAACCGAUUGGUCGGAGGUUCGAAUCCUCUCGGGCGCGCCA
rnacentral:tRNA from 1 species